CUUUAUCACCGAGUGCUUGCACUCACCGAUACAAUUUGAGUGGCGAACGGGUGAGUAACACGUGGGCAACCUGCCCAAAAGAGGGGGAUAACACUUGGAAACAGGUGCUAAUACCGCAUAACCAUAGUUACCGCAUGGUAACUAUGUAAAAGGUGGCUAUGCUACCGCUUUUGGAUGGGCCCGCGGCGCAUUAGCUAGUUGGUGGGGUAAAGGCUUACCAAGGCAAUGAUGCGUAGCCGAACUGAGAGGUUGAUCGGCCACAUUGGGACUGAGACACGGCCCAAACUCCUACGGGAGGCAGCAGUAGGGAAUCUUCCACAAUGGGCGAAAGCCUGAUGGAGCAACGCCGCGUGGGUGAAGAAGGUCUUCGGAUCGUAAAACCCUGUUGUUAGAGAAGAAAGUGCGUGAGAGUAACUGUUCACGUUUCGACGGUAUCUAACCAGAAAGCCACGGCUAACUACGUGCCAGCAGCCGCGGUAAUACGUAGGUGGCAAGCGUUAUCCGGAUUUAUUGGGCGUAAAGGGAACGCAGGCGGUCUUUUAAGUCUGAUGUGAAAGCCUUCGGCUUAACCGGAGUAGUGCAUUGGAAACUGGGAGACUUGAGUGCAGAAGAGGAGAGUGGAACUCCAUGUGUAGCGGUGAAAUGCGCAGAUAUAUGGAAGAACACCAGUGGCGAAAGCGGCUCUCUGGUCUGUAACUGACGCUGAGGUUCGAAAGCGUGG
rnacentral:rRNA from 1 species